rnacentral:rRNA from 1 species
GAUGAACGCUGGCGGUGUGCCUAAUACAUGCAAGUCGAGCGAACAGACGAUGAGCUUGCUCCUCUGACGUUAGCGGCGGACGGGUGAGUAACACGUAGAUAACCUACCUAUAAGACUGGGAUAACUUCGGGAAACCGGAGAUAAUACCGGAUAAUAUAUUGUACCGCAUGGAUCAAUAGUGCUAGACGGUUUUGCUGUCACUUAUAGAUGGAUCCGCGUCGCAUUAGCUAGUUGGUAAGGUAACGGCUUACCAAGGCAACGAUGCGUAGCCGACCUGAGAGGGUGAUCGGCCACACUGGAACUGAGACACGGUCCAGACUCCUACGGGAGGCAGCAGUAGGGAAUCUUCCGCAAUGGGCGAAAGCCUGACGGAGCAACGCCGCGUGAGUGAUGAAGGUCUUCGGAUCGUAAAACUCUGUUAUUAGGGAAGAACAAAUGUGUAAGUAAAUAUGCACGUCUUGACGGUACCUAAUCAGAAAGCCACGGCUAACUACGUG